rnacentral:lncRNA from 1 species
AAGCUCUUGGUUACACCAGUUGGCAUCAGUGUAGAGCUUCUGAAGUAACUAGAAAGCUGAAAUUAGUGAAUUUGUGUUGCAGGCAGAAGAGGCAUCUAGUAAAGACCAAACUGCUUCCUUAUGGGAACACAUCCAAUUCAAUCUUCUCAUCAUCUAUGAGAUACUUCCCCAGAAAUCUUAACAUCAGAUGUUCCAGUUGCUGGCUUUGUUUGGUGCUGUCUUUCUCAAACAAGUAGCAUGAACUAAUCAGGCCACUUUUGUGAGUGAGUGAAGAUUACAGGGCUCCAAGAGAUACAUUAGGAAAUCUAAUGCCAAAUGCCAACAAAGACUCAACCAGUAUCAGGAUAAGACUUUAAAAUAUAUUUUUUGUUAGUACAUUAAAAGGCCUGAAAACUAAAGGCUUCUUUCUUUUACUGAAUUACAGAUAAAAUACUGAAUAGCAGUCAUCUCAAUCAGACAUGAAGCUUUCUGAAAAAAUUCCAUUUGACUUUAAUAAUUGUGCAACAGCCUUUUCUGCAAAUCUUUGUUUAAAAUAAAGCUCAGGAGUUUGACA